GAUUGGUCAUAUAGACUUCUACCCAAAUGGUGGUAAAGAGCAGCCUGGUUGUCCCGAAACAAUUUUUGACGCUUUUUCAAACAUGUCUGAGGUAUCCUGCAGUCACAGCCGAGCAACAGAAUUGUUCAUUGAAAGCCUCGACAAAGACUGUUUUUCAGCAUUUCCUUGCCUGAACAAUAGACGUUUUGAAGCUGGUAAAUGUACAUCUUGUAGUCUGCUGGGCUGCCCCAAAAUGGGUUAUUUCACUGACACGAGUGUCAGUAGUGGGACAUUCUACCUCUCUACGUCUGACAAGCGUCCUUUCUGCCUACUCAAGAACAUAAUCAACAAAACCGGUUAGGCUAAACUACUAAGACUAUGUUGAAAUAUUUAGUGAAACUGUAUUACCUGGUAAAAGUGUUUAUCGUUAUGGUGGACUUGAAAGAAAAGUUUGUAUUAUUUAUGGUUUUCAAGUCUGCAGUGUAUUCGUUCAUACCAGUUGAACUUACUACGAAACAUACUUUACUAGGCCUUUAGUAAUAUGAAACAUGGUGUAAAAUUAUCGUGUUAUGUUGGCCUAUAUAGAAAUUUGUAGAAAAUAGUGACAAUAAAUUUAUCUAAAAUGUGUAA